rnacentral:lncRNA from 1 species
AGAAAUAACCUAAUUGAUAUGCAGCGGAAGAUAAACUACAACAAGCAAGCCAUAGUCAAGUAUGCAAUAGCAUUAACGUACGAAGACCAAUAGCAGCUAGGUAGUAGGAUCGGGAUGGAAGAUAGUAUGAAGCCAAUCAACAAUACUAGUCAAGCAAUGAAGUCAAUCAGAUAAGAAGAUAAGCAAUGACUUCACGAAGACAAACUCAAAGUAAAGGAGGGAAGAGAUAGAACCAGUCACUUGUUGAAGACACAGGAUUUGUUGGACCAGUUCCAGUUGCUGUGACAACUGUAUGUCUGGUUAGGGAGGCUGAGAUUCAACUCAGAAGACCGUGUCUUCACCUUAUUCCCCUUGAGCUAAGGACACCCAGUCCUCGCCCAAUCACUCUGGUAAGUCUUCAAGGUAGACUUCCAAACCUUCACAGACUCCGUUCACCCGGCAAUCCACAAUGACUCUUGGAUGCUCAGAACGAGACGCCUAACCGGCUGGAUGAUGCACAGUCCUCAAGUGUAAUAAGUCUUCAGGUCACACAGACAGAAAGACUUCAGUGAUGCCUAACACUCUUUGGCUCUGGGUGUUUGGGCUUUGUCCUCGCAAGGAUUUCUCUCUCUCUCAAAUGCUUCGAGGUGGGUUGCUCUUAAACGACAAAAGCCGUAUAUUAACUCUGAGCAGCCACCAAUUUAUGGUGUAGGGGGUGGGCUAUUUAUAGCCACUAGUCAACCCGACCUGAUUUGUCUGAAAUGACCAUGGGUCACUAAGGAACUGACACGUGUUCCAACGUUCAGAUUUCAAACACACACGACAACUUUACUUGGGCUACAAGCAAAGCUGACUCAUCCAACUCUGGAUAAGAUUUGCUCUCAUUGUCUUCGCUCGAAGACAUAGGAUUUGGGUUGAGCAUCACUUCAGUCACUCUGACUUAGUUCACUUGGACCCCACUUAACAGUACGGUGGUUCCUAUGACUCAACAAAGAAGAAAAGGAAACAACGAAACCACACAGUCUUCGCGCUCCAUAGUCUUCACGCAAUGUCUUCUCAUGUCAUAGUCUUCAAUAUGAAUAUCUUCUCAUACCACCAUUGUUGUCAAUGUCUUCAUACAUUUUUAGGGGUCAUCUCCGGUAGGUAAACCGAAUCAAUGAGGGACACUACCUGCGUUAUCCUGCAAUUCUCACAAACGCAUUAGUCCCUCAACCAACUUUGUCGUCAAUACUCCAAAACCAACUAGGUUGAAGUUUUCAACGGGGAUAAAGUAUGUGAAAUUGUAAAGGAUAGGAAUUUGUCUUCAUAAGUAGCAAGGGCUCCCCAUGAAGAUGUGCAUAUAAAUAAUUUUGCUUUUGGAAUGCAAAUGCACAUGGCAGGUUGUACUUGUGGAGGUCCACUUCAACUUAUGAAGAUAAUUCAUCAUGCAUGAAAUGAUAUAGCAUAUAGGAUGACAUGCAUAAUGAAAAAUGGACGUCUGCAGGAUGAUCUAAGUGCGGAAGUUAUCAUCGCACUUGGAAAUGCAAAUAAGUAGCAGACGAUCAUCAAGUUUAAGUGUUACAACUCAGAGAACCAAAUGUUUCAAAACGCAAGAGUUGUAAGCACGUGGCAAAAUAUAACGCAACCGCCCAUAUGAACCCGCUUGAAGACUAUCAACUCAUACGCUUCUCCCCCUUUUGUCAGUAAUGACCAAAAAGGUUUGAAGACAUAGAGCAUCUACUCGUCUUCUUGAUGAGUAGGUGAAGCAGCAGGGUUGUUGUCGUUGGGUGGCGGUGUAGAUGAACUCGGUGCAGUAUCGAUGCGCGCAGUAGUAGUAGGAGGUGGUGAAGUAGCAUCAUCUUCAUCAUUGAUCACUCUGGCAUUUACCGUUGCCGUGGAGGAAGAAUAUUCAGAGUCUUCAAGAGAUGGAGUUCUUCGUAGGACAGCAUUCCGUGGAGGAGUGGAGUCAAACUGAAAUCUUUCAUUGAAGCCAUCGUCUUGAAGAUCUGCUUCAGCACUAAGCAGGGUCAAACUCUUCCAUGAUCGUCGGCAAGUUUCGUGAGCAACAAAGGCAUUCUUGGUGGCAAGGUUGCGAAUGCGAUUGACAUCCACCAAGAGGCUUUGCAUCUGUCUCUUGAGCCAAAAGUGAUGUUUAUCCUGUUUCUGAUGAAGGGCCACAAGAAGUUCUCAAUCAUUGAGAACGCGAGAAUGCUUCUAAGGCCUUUGGGCAAUGGUGCUUUCAGUGGCUUCAGUAGGUGCUCGAUGAGGCAGAUGAGUAUUUCCAGCCAAUGGAUAGAUUCGUGUAGCUGCUUGAACACCUUCAAUGGGUUGAGCGAAGCUUUGGUGUUCGGCAUUCUGAACACAAAGAGGCUUCUUGGUAGGGUCAGGAUAUAUAGCUUCAACUGACAUAUCAACCUCAGGUAGAAAAAUCACAUGAUUGCGAGCAGAAGGUUGAUAGUUGACAGUAGAGUGUCGCUUUAUGAGGCGCAUGACCCAUGGAGCAUAAAACUUCAGACCAAAGAGAUCAGAGCCGGAGGCAGCAAGUUGUCUGAUGAAGAAAUCUUGUGCAUUGAAGCUGAUGCCAUUGAAAAUGUAGAAGACCAAAGUCUUCAUAGCUCCUUCAAGCUUUGCCGCUGAUGAAUGUCCUUUGAUAGGCCAUAGAGUCCGCCUGAUGAUGUGAUAUAUGGUGCGUGGCAGAUACUCAAGGUCUUCAACAAAGAACUCUGUUGGAUAUUCAGCAUCACGGGGCAAAGGCUUCAUCAUGCUCAGCAUCUGACUCAUAUUGGGUUCAGGCCUAUGAAAGAUGCUUUCCAGGGCAUUGCGAUGAUGUUGACAGCCAGGUUCAUAGAGUUCUCCGGGAGUGGACAGGCCUAUAAGCUCGAUGAUAUCCAUAGCUUUGGCUUCAUGAUGAACGUUUCCAGUCAUCCACUCGAGAACCCAAGUCUUCGUAUCUCUGUUGUAGCCGCGAAUGUGCAGUGUGGCAUAGAAUUGAAGCAAUAGUUCUUCAUUCCAGUGUUCUUUAUCUGUGACAAAACUGAGCAGCCCAGCAUCACGAAAGCAGUCAAGUGCUUCUUCUAAGCAGGGUAGUCCAGUAAUGGCUUCAGUGUCGAGGCGCAUAUGAGGGAAGAUGCGCCCUUGAUCAUACAGAACACGGGAGUAAUAGCUUCGCUGCUGAUGACUCCAGAACCGAUCUGAUGCAAUUCUUGGCUUCGUGUAGGGGUUCUUCGAGCUAUCAAAGAAUGUGUUGUGCCUCUUGAAGCCAUUUGCAUUGAAGGACCCGACAGUGGUGGUAGUACCAGGAAAUCUUGGCAGUCUUGGCUUGGGCUUAUGGACUUGAGGCCUAUGCUCAACAUGAUAGUCAAAUUGAGGACCAGAGACAUUAGGCGGAGGGACCAGAACGGGCCAUCUGACUGUUGUUAGCUCUCCGUGGUUAUAUGCCUGCUCAAUUGUAUAGGGCCUUGGGGCUGGAACAGGAGCAGUGGCAGCAGCAGAGGCUUCAGGUUGCACAACAGGUGCUUCAGAAGCAGUAGCCUCACUAGCUUCAGGUGCAGUGGCUGCAUUAGCUUCAGGCACACUGGUUGUUGCAAGCUCCACAUUAGCUUCAGCCAUGACAAUGUCAUCGGCUUCACUUGCGUUAGUUGUGGCAGCUUCAGGAUUUUCAACCUCCACUUGAGGAGCUGGAGGGUUAGGCAUUGACACGUUCACCUCAUGAACUAUUUCUUCAGGAAUGGGGGGAGUAGAGACACGUUCUUCAUCGGCUGAUGCAGCCGGAUUGUCUUCAGCAGCAGGUGCUUCAGACGCAGAGACAUUCACAGCAGGAGUGGCUUCUGAAAACACUUGACGUGCAACAGGUUGAUGAUGCACUUCUCCUUCUGGAACGCUCGGAAGAGGAGUUUGAGGCCUUGGUCCUUUGCAAAGCCUUUGAAGUACUGGCGACGCUUUUGGAGAUGGAGUGGGCAGGCCCUCAUCCUCUUCAGCUUGUAUGGAUGUGGUGACUUGUUGUUGUUGGGGAGUGUUGGGGGAGUCUUGUUCUUGCGGGCGAUCAGCCCAUGGAUCAUCCUGUGCAAUUGGCGUCAGAGGACGACCAAUGCUGAUGAGUUCGCUGUUCAUAUGAACAGGCGAUGAUACCACAUUGUAUUCGAUCUGAGAAAGAACUUCAUCAUCUUCAACAUUGUCAUGAUGACCAAUGUCUUCAGCAGCGGUGGGUUCAGCUGCUGGUAUAUCUUCAGCUCCAGGAGCCUCUGUGGAAGCAGGCUCAUGAACAGUCAUGUGAAGUUCUUGGGAUGCAGAUGCAGGAUGAAUCACUGAGAUGGGUUCAACAAAAAGGGGCUCUGUGGGAGCAACCCGGUUCUUCUUGGUCUUGCACUUCUUCUUGGAGGGAGCAGCAUCACAGGCUUCGGUAUUCUUCCUCUUUCUGGCUUCUGCCUCUGCAGCCCUUGUCUUCUUCUGUUCUGAAGCGGUUGUGGUGACCUUUGGCUUCGAGCCAGUCAUGCUACUUGGGAAGAUAAUACGUGGAGCUUCUUGGCUUGAAGGCGCAAGCUGAUCAGCCGGAAGCUUCUUCUUUUUCUUUGCUGCCAUCCUGGGGUCAAUGCCAGGACGGCCAAGUGACUUGCGCUUCUCAGCCUCAUUGUAGGCAAGCACACACUUAUCAGCCAAACUCUUCAUGCGCUCACGAGAGCCUUGAGCUUCUUGGCGCUUCUUCAGAAAAGCUUCUUUAAGCUCAUGCAGCAUGACCUUAAAGUUUCUGACGUCUUGAACACUCAGCUCGGCCAUAUGCUUCUUGAAUUGAGCCUUUUCAUAAUCAAUCUUGUGCUUGAGCUCAACGAUUCGGUGAGCGAGAGCCAGCUCAGAAGCAAUGGCACCAUUGAAAGAGACACUGAGGCCAAUUGGAAGCUGUAAAUCUUCAAAGCUGACAUUUGGGGUGUCGAACCACUCAUCAAUGAAAUUGUGGAUGAUGGCCACAUCAAAGAGAGGCAAAUUGCUGAAGAUUUCUGCUUCUUCCUUGCUCUUUAUCAGCUGCUCAAGAGCAUCAUCCGCAAGAUCUUCAUCACUUGAUAGAUCAAUGGGUUCUUCACGCAGAAUAGCAGCAGGAGUCAGAGCUUGAUCAGUACGCCUGACAAGUUGCCUUUUCUUCUCCGUCUUCUUGGAGAUACGAGAUUGAUCUUCAGACUGCACACUGGCUUCAGGAGGUGCAGUGGCCAAUGGCUUCACAUGAGAAGCUUUUGGAGGUGCGGCUGAUGAUGAAACCUUAACCUUCUUUGGCUUCUUCGGCCUUGGAGUAGGAGCAGGGGCUUCAUCUGAAUCAGCAUCAUUGUUGGGAUGAUCCACUUUGGCACCAUCAACCAAGACGUAGGAGAUGAGACCAUCAAGGUUUGCAAAGGGGCCAAUUCUAUUCUCUUCAGCUUCACGUGUCCCAUCCUCACGGGGAGCAGAGGGACUAGGAUUGAAGUCUAAUCCCCAUGACUUCUUGUUUUCCUUUGCUGAAGACAUAGCAAACUGGAAGUUGCGCUUGAAGAGAUUGUCGUCGCGACACCAGAGCAAUGAUGAUGGGUCGGCUUCUUCAGGCUGUGGUCCACGGACCAUGCACGGAUAGAAUUUUUGCUCAAUGGCUUCAGCUCUGUUCUUGGGGGGAAGGCCUCGAUAGAGAAUAUCGCCCCAAGGACUCUUGAUAGCAUACUUCUCUGCGUACUCCUGGGUGACGAACUUGUACUUGUACCACUGUUCAGCCCAAUUGCGUCGAAUCCAUUGGAUUCGAGUCUUGCAUUGAUUGUAAUCUUCUUCAGGAUCUAUUUUGUAUAUAUCUGCAAGAUCAUCAGGCAGAUCCCUAGAAGUUCCCCCACGAUGCUGUCUGCCACCCUUCCUGACUGAUUUUUCUGCAACCAUGAACUUCAAACUGAAUGGUUUCAAUAUGCUCAAAGGCUUCAGAGAUUUACGCUUGCUGGUCAAACAAGAACUAGCUUCAGGAGAAUUGAUAUGAUGUUGUAAGUAUUCUGCAAACGAAUGCAGACUAUGAGAACCUAGGGAUUCUCCCACGGACAUGUACCUGUGACAGCAUUAGAGAUGCGAGGGAAGGGGACGAGGUCAUAUGCAUUCUCAGAAGAUUUUGAAGAUAAAUCAGUUUGAAGAUAUUGACCUCAUGAUGCGAAGACAUUCACUUAUAUAGGUGAGUUGGUUCCAGAUUUGUACCAAUUCGUGAAUAAGUACAAGUGAGGAAUCAAACUAGAUAGGAAAUCUAAGUGAAUAUACUAGGCAUUAAGAGAUGCAGACAGAAUCGAUUUAACAUUGAAUAGGUAGAAACUACUUUCGGUAAUCAGGAUGAAUCUUGAAGAUCAAAAAGGUGGAAAAAAUAGAGUUAUAAUUACCGCACGAAGAACUGCUAGAUGGGAAGAAUAGGAGACCGAGCAGUUCAGUCCACCGUGCCCUAACUUGGCGACGGAGGACACCUACGGCGACGGCGGAGAGGACGAUGUCCGCGACCGGUGUGAGGACGGCGUCGGAGAAGUUGCGGCAGCUAAGCGCUUUGUCGUUGGCGUCGUCGCGAGCUAGCGGUGGCGCUAGGGUUUUGACGGAGGUGGAGAGGUGGAAGAAGGAUUUCUUUACCACAGGUGACGGUGUCCUGGACUAGGGGGUACUCAACGCGUCGUCUCCCGAUCAGUUGGAUUGGGCCGAGGACCCCCAUGGCCGUAUACUCAUGGGCCAGUCCGGACAGUUGCCGCAUACAAGGAAGAAUCAACAAGACUUGGCGAUCAAGACAAGGACUCCUCCCCCACCGGCGUAUUCGGCUAGGACUCUUGUUAUCCUAGGCCUCUGGUGCAUUAUAUAAACCGGGGCCAGGCUAGUCGAUAGACAUAUACAACAACAAUCAUACCAUAGGCUAGCUUUUAGGGUUUAGCCUCUACGAUCUCGUGGUAUAUCUACUCUUGUACUACCCAAUCAUCAAUAUUAAUCAAGCAGGAUGUAGGGUUUUACCUCCAUUGAGAGGGCCCGAAUCUGGGUAAAACAUCGUGUCCCUUGCCUCAUGUUACCAUUGAUCCUAAGACGCACUGCUUGGGACCCCCUACCCGAGAUCCGCCAGUUUGACAUCGACAUUGGUGCUUUCAUUGAGAGUUCCGCUGUGUGAUCGGCGAAAGGAUCAAUGGCUCGACUGUAGGUCAACUGCGACGUCGGCUUCUUCGUCCUCAGCUCGACUGGUCACCUUGGCUUGACCGAGGACUGCGCCCUACCUCCGAUCGUCAUGUUCGGAUGAAGGCCUUCAUCAACACCAACUCCGAUCUCUAUCAAGAUCAUGGAGGAGUCAUCCAUAGAGCUCAGGGGCUCAACGUCAACAUUGCCCUCAGGCGACCGUGCUGUUUUUCUGGACAACAAACUUGUAUCCGCCGCCACCGCCUCCUCGAGUGUCGCCUAAACGAUUACUUCGGUGGAAUUAUGCGGAAUUAAGUCUAUAACAACCCUGCAAAAAUUUCGUCGAGUUCCGAUGGAGGAAUCUCCGGCAAUCUCUGAUAUACCGGAGCCCUGUUGAAUCUGGACGAGAAUUUGGACGAGUUUAGGGCGUGGUAUCCAGCGUCCAGCUCGGAUGUCCUUUGGAGGAUCCAACCGUUGAUUUGCUGCGGGAUUCCUUUAUCUACCACCUGCCAAAAAUUCAGCUCGAUCCGACCGUCCAAACUCCGGGAAACUUCCGAUUAGUGCAUCACUUUUUGGAUCUGUUUUCUGCGCGAAAACGAAUCCGACCCCAGUUCGUCUUUUUUAUGAACGGGAUUUCAGACAUCCUUUUUGAAGGAAGUUUUGUAUGGGGUAUUGUGUUUUGUUCCCGAACACAUCCCACUAACUUUAAAAUCUUUUGAACAUGAUCUUCAACAUCAUGUUGGUGUCAAACUAGUCCGGCAAUAUUGCUCCACAGCUGCCGACCUGCGCUAGACACGUCGUCACUUUGUUGAGCCAAGCUCAACUUCUUCGGAUCAUCAUCUUGGCAAGCCGAACAAGAGUCCGGCAUCGCGAAGGAUAAAUCAUCACCAACAUCGCCGCCCCACGGAUUACACGGAGCGGGCAUUCCGGCAUCGCCGCACGGUCGCUUCACCAAGCCGGCAUCGACCACGUCACGACCUGCAUCGGCAGGGCCGCACUAUUGCUUCUUCAAGCUGGUGUCCAUCACGCCGACCUACUUCGACAUCUCGGCUAGACCGGGGGCUUCGCCAUCUCUUCAUCAACCUACUCCGGACACUUCGGCGUCACUAGCCGACCAGGCAUGGGUGCGCGGAUCGAGUCCCAAUUUUAGGAAUCACCUUCCUUCGGAUUGCUACAACAAAUAAACCAGGUGCUAUUAAUCCUAGUAUUUCUUUUUGCUUGUUUGGGUUAAAUUUUUCCCAAGGAAUUAUUACUCUGGUUAGUCCAGCAUAUGUACACAAGUCUAUCAAAUGGUGGCCGCAUUAUCGACGGUCGCAUGAUGGUUCGGUCAGUUUCCGUACACAGUUCGGCGAACGCCGCAUCCGGAACUCGGACCGACCUGUGAAUCCAGGCUUUGCCACGCCUUUAUUGCAUUACGCCAAUGACCUGCAUCGACAUCGACUUCGGUGCCAGGCCAUAUUUCUUUUACUACUCGCUUUGCAUAAAUUAUUUAUUAUGCAACAUUUUUUUUAAUUCCUAUUAUUACUAUUAUCCCCGGUCUGCACUAUUUUUUGUGCACAGGAAAAUGAUCCAGCCGGACUAUAUCCUUUGACGUCACCUCGGCUGGACGGGGGGCUUCGUCAACACUUCAUUACCCCAUGCCGGGGACUUCGGCAUCACUCUGCCGUCCUGCAUUGAUCGUGCUAUGUCACCACUUCGGAGUGCCGAGCUCCUUGCUCCGCCACCUCGGGACCGGCUUGGGGGAUGGAACCUUGUCCCGCAUCAAGCUCGGACCGCGUCGUCAAUACCGAACACAUUAACCAGCUAAGUUGCCUUCAUGCUCAAAGUUUUAAAUUUCUAACUUGUGUUCGGUUCGACCAAGAAUUAUACCUUUUUGUAAAAAAGUUGCUUGUAAAAAUUUUCCUUGUCGAAACUUUGUUCGCACACACUUGAUGCGCUACCCGCGCUCAUUAUACCUGGGGGCUUCUUUAACAGAAGCUUAUUUAUACGGGCUUUAUGCCCAACACAUGUAUCACACUUCCGCAUGUACCUUUUAUUCACCAUUAUAUGCAUCGAUAUGACUUAAGUUUUGGCCAAGCUGGGUUGCCUGGCUCCAGUGCUUACCCCUAUAUUCCCGAUUGUUCGGCUAGGUGGUAAAGGGAGCACCUCUGCGAUUGUUACUGCUGGGUCAGCCGGAUGUGUACCUCAGACUGGGUGAAGCCGAAAGCUAGCGUUCUUAAGGGAAUACUCGGUCGGUGAACUAAAAGAUGAUUUCUUACCUAUUUAUUUACCUGCCCCAGAUGUUUUUCUGCUCUUUUCGCAGUCCGGACAUGCACUUUAGGGCAUGCCUCCCAGGGAAAGGAACUCCUAACGGAACUAUUCUCCCUGGAAGAUGUUUCUUACUAACCAUGUAAUAUAACAUAACUAGUUGGGCACUUGUCUGAUAAAGCACUAAUGACCCCUAUGCCUGGUCUCCACACAUGCCCCGGUUUUUAUAACCGCAAGGGUAUUCGGACACACUCCGGACUAUUGGGUCUAGAGGUUGAAGCGAAAAGGUCCGCUACGACAAAGGAUCUACAAUCCGGCUAGAAGGCAUUCUACAUGUCACCUUACAUUUUAUAGUCAACUUUUACCCAAGUCGCUUGGGGGCUCUUAUGUUUAUUUGAGCCGUUUCAUACUAAGUGUUUUUCUUCUUAGUCGUUGCAAAGUUAAAGCACGGCAGAAGCACUUUUUUUCUAAAGUCCAAUUUUUGGAUUGGCACCGAACACUUGAUCUUGUUCGGACAUCAUGUUUUUACUGAUGUUUUUUGGUUUUCCAAGCUUUUGGCACUUUUAACUAUUUGUGUGUUUUCAGCACAAGUCUCGCAGUGCAACGCCGGACACCUUUAGAGAUUCAGCAAAAACAUUCUCGGAUAUUGCUAUAUAUGCAUCAACUUCGAAUUGUGUCUUCGGUCAAUAGUUGGGUUGCCCGGCUCCCGCGCUUGCCUCCUACGUUCCGCUUUGUUCGGCUAGGUGUGCAAAGGGAGAACCACUGCGAUUGUGCUUCCAGCUCGCAUGGUCAAGCACCUCAGUGGAGAAAGCCGAAAACUGACUGUCACAAUAGGUGUAAACUGGUCAGCGAUCCGAUGACUAUAUUAAAUGACGGGCCAUUCAUAACAUUGGCCGAAGUGUUUCCGGCUUGACCUCGACUGUCGCCGGACACUACCGGGGGCUAUUAACUGGCCUCCCAAACUAAAUCCUCCAUCUUUUGCUCUUACAUUGGAGCUGAGGUUUCAUGAUCAUGCUUACCAUGACAACCCAAAGAAAGGAACCGACAGCGGGACUAUUUUCUUUGGAAGACAUUUCUUCUGUUAAACAGCAAUAUAACAUAUCUCUCUGCGUACCUUUGUUUAGAAAGCUGUAUGACCAGAUUGCCUUGUUUGUCGUAAAUCUUUGCCCUCAUAAAGGCUUUAUAAAGUAGGACAAACACUCCUCGGCUACCGGCCGAGGAGGUUGAAGCCCAUGGUCGGUCAACAAAGUUUUGUACAAUGCGGAUCCGAGCAUUAAUGACAUAAAGUACUUGGAUACAAUGAGUCAUUACACAUAAUUUGUGAUUUUACUAUGGAUAUUGAUCCUUAAUUUGGCCACCCGUGCCCGCAUUAAGGCUCGGGGGCUACUGGGCUUCGGGCUUAUUAUUUACAAAUAUUAAAGGGGCACAUUGAUCCCCUGAUCUGGUGUUGCCACCUGACCAGUGUCUCGGGGGCUACUGCAUUGCUUGUUCUAUGCAGAAAAUCUUAAGUGCAAUACAGUUUCCGAGGAUAUUUUGAUCCUUAGAUUGGUCGGCCGCACCCAACCUGAGUCUCGAGGACUGAGCACGCCGCUUUUUGUGUCCCAAAGUAUUCUGCCGAGCUAGGACUUGAUCCUCAGACCGAUUUUGCAAAUCGACCUGAGUCUUAGCGGCUAUGGGGAUCAGCGGUCUUAUGUCAUCCUUCAGGUGUGUCUCGGGUUUUAGACCGAUACAUACCUUGAGGGCUACUGGCUAUAUAUCUCGUCAGAGAAUAAAUUACAUCAAUAAAAAACAUUGACCAAAAAUCAGCCCAUGACCGAGGUGCUUAACCACCUUGGAAGCAGUUCGACAUAUAGCUCGGAUGCAAGUGGCUGACUCCUUAGAGGGCAUUUCCGGCAUUAAGCUCGGUUAAACUCCUUCAAACUUCUUUGAACCAAGGUGAUUUAUGACACCUCGGAUAAAGUCCUGCGUUGGAGCUCGGAUACAUAGUCCGGCGUUGGAGCUCGGAUACAGUCUGGCGUUGGAGCUCGGAUACAUAGUCCGGCGUUAGAGCUGGGAAGCAGUCCGGCAUUGGUGCUCGGCUGCAAAAGAUACCUCGAAUGCAGUCCGGCGUUGGAGCUCGGACGCAAGAGGACGUUGCCACCCGGGAACAACUUCAAACCCGAGGCAUGGCAUAAAAAUAACAAGGCAUUGAUAAAGGCUGUAAACUUAAAGGGGCUCCUCGGAUACCCAACGCGUAAACUCGUCGAAUGCAUUUCGGUGAUCCUCAAGAUAGAAGAUGAGAAGAUUUGUUGAACCAGUUUUCAAGACCGGCAACCGAAGAUGAAGAACAGUUCGGAAGAAUCAAGGAGCGUCCCUAACUUGAAGACCGGUUCAGGGGGCUACUGACGUGUCCUGGACUAGGGGGUACUCAAUGCGUCGUCUCCCGAUCAGUUGGAUUGGGCCGAGGACCCCCAUGGCCGUAUACUCAUGGGCCAGUCCGGACAGUUGCCGCAUACAAGGAAGAAUCAACAAGACUUGGCGAUCAAGACAAGGACUCCUCCCCCACCGGCGUAUUCGGCUAGGACUCUUGUUAUCCUAGGCCUCUGGUGCAUUAUAUAAACCGGGGCCAGGCUAGUCGAUAGACAUAUACAACAACAAUCAUACCAUAGGCUAGCUUUUAGGGUUUAGCCUCUACGAUCUUGUGGUAAAUCUACUCUUGUACUACCCAUAUCAUCAAUAUUAAUCAAGCAGGACGUAGGGUUUUACCUCCAUCGAGAGGGCCCGAACCUGGGUAAAACAUCGUGUCCCUUGCCUCCUGUUACCAUUGAUCCUAAGAUGCACUGCUUGGGACCCCCUACCCGAGAUCCGCCGGUUUUGACACCAACAGCAGGGGACACAUAUUUAUAAGUAGGUGCGCAGCACAGCGCAAUUACGCAGGUGCCCCUGUCUGUUCACAUCCGUGGGGUACGUGGCAAGCAUGCAACACAUUUAGAAUUGUCCCACGUUCCCAUGCCCGCCAAGUAUGUCGGAUGUUCGUUCCGGCUUCUCCGGAUAUCGACAAUAAAGAUGAUUCAUUUAAAUUGGACUUGAUGUUUUGUCUCUGUGUCUUCUGCUGACAAGGAUGCAGAGAAGACAUUCGACAGUUUCAAUAGAAUGUAUAUGAUUUGGACAGAUAGAGUUUGAGAUAGUAAGCAUAGAGAGAUUAGGGUCCGAUCACAUUCACUUAGUUCAAAAGAUUCAACAGUGAGGACAUAGCUAUAAGUGAAUGUUGUAGAGGACAUAACACUAGUAUAUAUAUAUGCAAUCAAAUCAUCAUAGCGCAGAAAAUCACGAAGAUAAAUUGAAACUGAAGACAAACCAAAUGUGAAGUCUUUGCAAAAUAACGCCAUGAGUGAAACACUUCAAAAUGAGAAAUUUGGUGGUGGCGUUUCCCACCGUAUAGGAAGUAUUAGACCCAGACACGGCGCACAAUUAUCGUGGCGCUCCGAAGUCAAAUUCCAUGUUAAUAUAUUCACACUUAGAGUGUAAGUCUUCAUUGAGUGAAGAUAUACAUUACUUUGUGUGUUGCACAUCCAAGUCAUCUACAUGCAUAAGUGUUAGGAUGUGUGCUUGAUCACAGGACAUUCGAGGAUUCCAAGAUAUUUAGCUCACACCAUAAUUUGCAAAACCUUUUCUCAUCCAAGGGCUUUGUGAAGAUAUCUGCCAGUUGCUCUUCAGUGUUGACGUGAAUGAUGUCAAUAUCUUUCUUCAUGACAUGAUCUCUGAGAAAAUGAUGACGAAUUUCAAUGUGCUUUGUCUUCGAGUGUUGUACUGGAUUGUUGGCAAUCUUGAUGGCACUUUCGUUGUCGCAGAAGAGAGGGACUUGCUUCAGAUCGAUGCCAUAGUCCUUGAGAGUUUGCUUCAUCCACAGAAGCUGAGCACAACAAGAUCCAGCAGCAAUGUAUUCAGAUUCAGCAGUUGAGAGUGACACACAGUUCUGCUUCUUUGAAGACCAACAGACAAGUGAUCGACCAAGAAAAUGACACGUGCCUGAUGUAGACUUGUGAUCCACCUUGUCACCAGCAUAAUCAGCAUCCGAGAAUCCAACCAGAUCAAACCUUGAGCCCUUUGGAUACCAUAAUCCGAGUGUUGGGGUGUAAGCCAAAUAUCUGAGAAUUCGCUUUACUGCUAAGUGAUGCGAUUCCUUUGGUGCCGCUUGGAAUCGAGCACACAUGCAAACACUAAGCAUAAUAUCUGGCCUAGAUGCACAUAGGUAAAGUAAAGAACCAAUCAUGGAGCGGUAUACCUUUUGAUCGAACUCUUUACCAUUGUCGUCGGGACCAAGAUGAUGUUUGGCUGGCAUUGGCGUCGUGUAACCUUUGCAAUCUUGCAUGCCGAACUUCUUCAGGCAAUCUUUGAGAUAUUUUUCUUAAGAUAUGAAGAUGCCAUUUCUUUGUUGACGGAUUUGAAGACCAAGGAAGAACUUCAGCUCACCCAUCAUGGACAUCUGAUAUUGCUCUUGCAUCAUAAAUCCAAACUCAUCAAUGUACUUUUGGUUGGUGCAGCCGAAGAUUAUGUCAUCAACAUAUAUUUGGCACACAAACAGUUCACCAUCAUAUGUCUUCGUGAAGAGUGUGGGAUCGAGGGAUCCCGGUUUAAAGCCUUUGCUCUUCAGGAAGUCUUUGAUUGUAUCAUACCAAGCGCGAGGAGCUUGUUUGAGGCCAUACAGUGCUUUGUUGAGUUUGUACACCAUAUCAGGAUGUUUUGGAUCUUCAAAGCCAGGUGGUUGUGCAACAUACACUUCUUCUUCAAUCUUGCCAUUGAGAAAUGCACUCUUUACAUCCAUUUGAUAUAGCAAGAUGUUGUGAUGAUUUGCAUAGGCUAGCAGUAUGCGAAUGGCUUCAAGCCUAGCAACAGGAGCAAAUGUUUCAUCGAAGUCAAUUCCUUCAACUUGAGUGUAUCCUUGAGCCACAAGACGUGCUUUGUUUUUGAUGACUUGACCAUGCUCAUCUUGCUUGUUUCGAUAUAUCCACUUUGUUCCAAUAAUGUUGUGCUUGCGAGGGUCAGGGCGCUUGACCAAUUCCCAAACAUUAUUCAGUUUGAACUGUUGAAGUUCUUCUUGCAUGGCUUGAAUCCAUUCAGGUUCCAUAAAAGCUUCAGCAACUUUCUUGGGUUCAGAUAUUGGUACAAAUGAAAAAUGCCCACAGAAGUUUGCUAGAUGUGUUGCUCUUGAUCGAGUAAGCAGACCAGGCGCAUUGAUGCUAUCAAUUAUAUUCUCGAUUUGUACUUCAUUUGCAACACGAGGAUGAACAGGACGAAGUCCUUGCUCAUGUUGAUCAUUGUCAUCAUUGGGAGGAUUAUCUUCGGACUGAGCAUUGUCUUCAGUUUGGUUUGGUGCAGAGAUGAUAAGUUCCUCUUCAGGCUGUGCUUCAGAGGGCAUGAUUUCACCAGUUCCCAUUAGCUUGAUAGAUUCACUGGAAGGAGCUUCAUCAAGUGUGCUUGGCAGGAGCUCUCGUUGUGAACCAUUGGUUUCAUCAAAUCGCACAUCCACUGUUUCAACGAUUUUGUAGUGGAAGAGGUUGAAGACUCUAUAAGAGUGUGAAUCCUUUCCAUAGCCAAGCAUGAAGCCUUCGUGAGCUUUGGGUUCAAAUUUUGACUUGUGAUGAGGAUCCUUGAUCCAGCACCUAGCACCAAAGACUCUGAAGUAGCUGACAUUUGGCUUCUUGCCAGUGAGGAGCUCAUAGGAUGUUUUGCCUAGAAGCUUAUGGAUGUAGACACGGUUGAUGAUGUGACAAGCUGUAUCAAUGGCUUCAGGCCAGAACUUUCUUGGUGUCUUGUACUCAUCGAGCAUUGUUCGAGCCAUCUCAAUAAGGGUUCUGUUCUUGCGCUCAACAAUGCCAUUUUGCUGUGGCGUGUAUGGAGCAGAAAAUUCAUGAGUGAUUCCCAUUAUAUCCAGAUAAAGAUCAAGGCUGGUGUUCUUGAAUUCAGUGUCGUUAUCACUUCUGAUAUGCUUGAUCUUGACGCCAUAGUUGUUCAUUGCUCGAUUGGAGAAUCGUCUGAAGACAUCUUGUACUUCAGUCUUGUAGAGAAUUAUGUGCACCCAUAUGUAUCUUGAGUAGUCAUCAACAAUGACGAAGCCAUAGAGACACGCCGUUGUUGUGAGGGUGGAGUAGUGAGUAGGGCCAAAUAAGUCCAUGUGCAACAACUCAAAGGGUUGAGAUGUCGUCAUGAUUGUCUUCGAAGGAUGCUUGGCCCUUGUCAUCUUUCCAGCUUCGCAGGCACCACACAGAUGAUCUUUCUUGAACUUGACACCUUCGAUGCCUAUGACAUGCUUCUUCUUGACGAGAGUGUGCAAGUUCCUCGUGCCUGCAUGCCCCAGCCUUCGAUGCCAGAGCCAGCAUUCUGACGCUUUUGCAAGAAGACAUACGGCAAGUUUUGGACCUGCUGAGAAAUCUACCAUGUAUAGAUCACCUUUCCUAUACCCUUCAAAGACUAGAGAUUUGUCAGAUUCCAUUAGUACAAGGCAACGAUAUUUUCCAAAUAUCACAAUCAUGUUUAAGUCACAUAGCAUUGAGACAAACAUUAAGUUGAAUCCAAGGGAUUCAACAAGCAUCACUUUGUCCAUGUGUUGAUCCUUUGAGAUUGCAACUCUACCUAGACCCAAUACUUUGCCUUUACCAGUGUCAGCAAAUGUGAUUUGACUCUUGUCGGAUGGACGUAAGGUUGAGUCCAUGAGAAGACUUUGAUCGCCAGUCAUAUGAUUAGUGUAUCUGCUGUCAAUAAUCCAUUCUGAAGCUUUUGGUGUACCCUAUAGUGUAGUUAGAGGGAUAGGCUUCACAAUGUAUGUUGUGAAGCAUAAGCAUUUGAUGCACACUUGGAUUAUCACAGCAUAGAUGAAAGUUAGCACACAGUAUGACAGGUAAGCGAUUCAUAUGUGGAAUACAUAUUAGUUAUUUUAUCAUGCGUCCCUUUGUGUUUUAGGUCCCCAGCAAUAAUAUCGGACGCCAUUGAUUGCUUGCUGGAGACUAUUUCCUGCAAAAGAGAGUUAGUUCUUCUUUACCACCCACAUCUUCAGGGGUGGCUUAGAAGCAAUGAGUCUAAGUGCAGCAUCUGAGAAUUUCGGCUUUGGAUCCCUAGCAAAUAGCCUUGCAGGAGAUGAAUGAUACUCAUAUGAAUAAGCAGAAAAGUUCUUAGUAUUAUGAACGUAGCGGUUUGCAGACACACGCUCAUAUUCAUAAGUUUGAGUAUGAUUUCCCUGUAAAACAUUGGCGUUAGUGUGACACGAGUGAGUCCUGUUUCCGUAUGAAGCCGUUGGACCAUGUGAUGCCUUUGGUCCGGGGUUUGUCUUCUUCACAGGUGGUGUCAUGACAACAUUCACGGGAAGAUUUUCAAGACAGCUUUUGGGAACCCAGAUCUUCUUCAUUGGCGGUCCAUUCCUGUAGUUAGUAUCAAUAAACCUGGCAAACACUUCACCAUUCUGAUUUUUGAACAUUUUAUAGUUUGCAUCAAAGGAUUCAUCAAUGAUAAUAGGAUUAGCACAGGUAAAGCCAGAUAAAGUAGAUGGAUCCACUGAAGGUUCCUUUGCAGCAACCCAUGUGGUUUUGGGAUACUGCUCAGGCUUCCAGUAGGUGCCAUCAGCAUUCAUUUUCCUCUCGAACCCAACACCCUCUUUCCUAGGGUUUCAGUUCAGAAUCUGCUUUUUGAGGACAUCACAGAGUGUCUGAUGUCCCUUCAAACUUUUGUACAUCCCUGUUUCAAGCAAUGUCUUCAACCUAGCAUUUUCAUCAGCAAUAGCAGUGGUAUCCUCCGCAGAGGGGUUAGUUACCACAUCAGUAGUUAAAGACAGAGCAACAGUAGUAGCAGUGGAAGAUUUAGCAACAGAGGCAGCGUUAUCACGCUCAAUGCAUUUCAAGCAAGGUGGUUCAAAUCCUUCCUGAGCGGGACUGAUCUGUUGAGCGCGAAGUGACACAUUUUCCUUUUGAAGAUCUUCAUGAGCCGCUUUCAAUUUCUCAAGGUCUUUCUUCCUUUGAAGAUAAUCAUAGGAGAGCUUUUCAUUAGAGGUUGAGAGCGUCUCAUGAAGAUUUUCAAGUUUUUAAUACUUAGCAUGAAGAUUUUUUAUGUCUUCAACUAAGGAUUGUGUACGUGUCAUUUCCGCGUCCAACAGGCCAUCGCUUUUGUCUAACAGUUUUUGAGUAUAUUCCAUAGCCUUUUGUUGUUCAGUAGCAAUUUUAGCAAGUGUUUUGUAUCUGGGUUUGGAUUCACAAUCAGAGUCAUCUUCACUUGAUGUUUGAAAGUAAGCAUCGCGUGAUUUUACCUUGGCACCGCGUGCCAUGAAGCAGAAGGUGGGAGCUGAAUUGUCUUUGUCAUCAUCAGCGUUGGUGUGGGAGUCUAUGUCUUCAGUGUUGAAGAUAGACUUGGCAACAUAGGCAGUGGCUAGAGCCAGACUAGCAACGCCGGAGUCGGAUUCAGCUUCAGAUUCCACCUCUGCCUCCUCAGAAGCAGACUCCUCCUCUGAAUCCAUUUCCUUGUCAACAAAAGCACGAGCCUUGCCAGAUGAGCUCUUCUUGUGAGAUGAAGACCUUGAUGAUGACUUGGAAGAGGACUUCGAAGAUUUCUUCUUCUUCUUGUCAUCGGAGUCAUAAUCCUUUCUCUUCUUCUUCUUCUUCUUCUCGUUUUCCCACUGAGGACAUUCAGAGAUGUAGUGCCCAGGCUUCUUACACUUGUGACAGGUUCUCUUCUUGUUAUCUUGAGUGGAAGCUUCAUCAUUUCUUGAACUGGAUCGUGAAGACUUUCUGAAGCCCUUCUUCUUGGUGAAUUUCUGGAACUUCUUCACAAGCAUAGCAAGUUCCCUUCCAAUAUCUUCAGGAUCAUCUGAACCGCAGUCAGAUUCUUCUUCUUCAGAUGAGGAAAUGACUUUUGCCUUCAAGGCACGAGUACGGCCAUAGUUGGGGCCAUAGAUAUCUCUUUUCUCAGAAAGUUGGAACUCAUGUGUGUUGAGCCUUUCAAGUAUAUCAGACGGAUCGAGAGUCUUGAAGUCAGGACGUUCUUGUAUCAUGAGGGCAAGGGUGUCAAAGGAGCUGUCAAGGGAUCUUAGCAGUGUCUUGACAAUUUCAUGCUUGGUGAUCUCAGUGGCGCCGAGAGCCUGAAGCUCAUUUGUGAUGUCGGUGAAGCGAUCAAACGUGAGCUGGACAUUUUCAUUGUCGUUUCUCUUGAAGCGGUUAAAGAGAUUGCGAAGAACACUGAUUCUCUGGUCUCUCUGAGUAGAUACGCCUUCAUUGACCUUGGAUAGCCAGUCCCAGACUAACUUUGACGUUUCCAGAGCACUCACACGGCCAUACUGUCCUUUGGUCAGAUGACCACAGAUGAUGUUCUUUGCAGCCGAGUCCAGUUGAAUGAACUUCUUGACAUCAGCAGGGGUGACACCUUCACUGGUCUUUGGAACACCGUUCUUGACGACAUACCAGAGGUCGACAUCAAUGGCUUCAAGAUGCAUGCGCAUCUUAUUCUUCCAGUAGGGAUAUUCUGUUCCAUCGAACACGGGGCAAGCAGUGGAGACUUUGAUUAUCCCUGCAGUCGAUAUAGCUAAACUCCAGGUGGUUAAACCGAAUCACACAGAACAAGGGAGUACCUUGCUCUGAUACCAAUUGAAAGUGCUAGUUAUCGACUAGUGGGGGGUGAAUAGGCGAUUUUUAUGAAAGUCUUCAAAACAUGGAAGUUUCGAAGACAAACAAUAGAAAUAACCUAAUUGAUAUGCAGCGGAAGAUAAACUACAACAAGCAAGCCAUAGUCAAGUAUGCAAUAGCAUUAACGUACGAAGACCAAUAGCAGCUAGGUAGUAGGAUCAGGAUGGAAGAUAGUAUGAAGCCAAUCAACAAUAGUAGUCAAGCAAUGAAGUCAAUCAGAUAAGAAGAUAAGCAAUGACUUCACGAAGACAAACUCAAAGUAAAGGAGGGAAGAGAUAGAACCAGUCACUUGUUGAAGAUACAGGAUUUGUUGGACCAGUUCCAGUUGCUGUGACAACUGUACGUCUGGUUAGGGAGGCUGAGAUUCAACUCAGAAGACCGUGUCUUCACCUUAUUCCCCUUGAGCUAAGGACACCCAGUCCUCGCCCAAUCACUCUGGUAAGUCUUCAAAGUAGACUUCCAAACCUUAACAGACUCCGUUCACCCGGCAAUCCACAAUGACUCUUGGAUGCUCAGAACGAGACGCCUAACCGGCUGGAGGAUGCACAGUCCUCAAGUGUAAUAAGUCUUCAGGUCACACAGACAGAAAGACUUCAGUGAUGCCUAACACUCUUUGGCUCUAGGUGUUUGGGCUUUGUCCUCGCAAAGAUUUCUCUCUCUCAAAUGCUUCGAGGUGGGUUGCUCUCAAACGACAAAAGCCGUAUAUUAACUCUGAGCAGCCAACAAUUUAUGGUGUAGGGGGUGGGCUAUGUAUAGCCACUAGGCAACCCGACCUGAUUUGUCCGAAAUGACCCUGGGUCACUAAGGAACUGACACGUGUUCCAACGGUCAGAUUUCAAACACACACGGCAACUUUACUUGGUCUACAAGCAAAGCUGACUCAUCCAACUCUGGAUAAGAUUUGCUCUCAUUGUCUUCGCUCGAAGACAUAGGAUUUGGGUUGAGCAUCACUUCAGUCACUCUGACUUAGUUCACUUGGACCCCACUUAACAGUACGGUGGUUCCUAUGACUCAACAAAGAAGAAAAGGAAACAACGAAACCACACAGUCUUCGCGCUCCAUAGUCUUCACGCAUUGUCUUCUCAUGUCAUAGUCUUCAAUAUGAAUAUCUUCUCAUACCACCAUUGUCUUCAAUGUCUUCAUACAUUUUUAGGGGUCAUCUCCGGUAGGUAAACCGAAUCAAUGAGGGACACUACCUGCGUUAUCCUGCAAUUCUCACAAACGCAUUAGUCCCUCAACCAACUUUGUCGUUAAUACUCCAAAACCAACUAGGGGUGGCACUAGAUGCACUUACACUACCAAACGUCACAACGUAAAAGGGUAAUUAUAAAGGUGCUCUACAGGUGUCCCCGAAGGUGUUUGUUGGGUUGGCAUAUAUCGAGAUUAGGAUUUGUCACUCCGUGUUUCAGAGAGGUAUCUCUAGGCCCUCUCGGUGAUACUCAUCAAUAUAAGCCUUGCAAGCAUUGUAACUAAUGAGUUAGUUGCGGGAUGAAGUCUUGUUACUGGUAACUAAUGGGCCCUCUCGGUAAUACCUAGUUCAAUCUUGUUACCGUCAAGUCUCUUUACUCGUUCUGUAAUACUUCAUCCCACAACUAACUCAUUAGUCACAUUGUUUGCAAGGCUUAUAGUGAUGAACAUUACCGAGAGGGCCCAUAGAUACCUCUCUGAAACACAGAGUGACAAAUCCUAAUCUCGAUCUAUGACAAUCCAACAAACACCUUCGGAGACACCUGUAGAGCAUCUUUAUAAUCACCCAUUUACGUUGUGAUGUUUGAUAGCACACAAGGUGUUCCUCGGUAUUCGGGAGUUGCAUAAUCUCAUAGUCUGAGGAACAUGUAUAAGUCAUGAAGAAAGCAGUAGCAAUGAAACUGUAAUGAUCAUAACGCUAAGCUAACGAAUGGGUCAUGUCCAUCACAUCAUUCUCCUAACGAUGUGAUCUCGUUCAUCUAAUGACAACACAUAUCUAUGGUUAGGAAACAUAACCAUCUUUGAUUAACGAGCUAGUCAAGUAGAUGCAUACUAGGGACAAUAUGUUUUGUCUAUGUAUUCACACAUGUACUAAGUUUCCGGUUAAUACAAUUCUAGCAUGAAUAAUAAACAUUUAUCAUGAUAUAAGAAAAUAAAUAAUAACUUUAUUAUUGCCUCUAGGACAUAUUUCCUUCAAACACAAGAUCUCUGAUCAGUCUAUGUUGGCGUGCACCUACGUCGUGUCUUUGCUGAAGAUGGUUGAUCGACUUAGAUGAUGAAAAUCCCGAGACUGGCCUAUGAUUGGACUUGUCACUAUCGGCGCACGCAACAAUUCUUUAUUGAAGGCCUAGCCUAGGAGAUGUGUGCUUUUCGUUUGUUUUUGUCUUCUACCAUAGUGUUAAUGGUUGGCUUAUAGGGUCGAAGGAAGUAUUUUUUUAACACAGUACAUAUGUGGACGCUCAUACACUCACCCUUGUGAACGCAUGCACGCACACCCUACCCCUAUGAACACCUUUGAGAGAGUGAGCAUGCACAUCAUCAUGAAUUGACAGAGCCGCCACAGCCGCCUUCGUAAUCGACGUGUACAUCUUCACCCAUUGUACGCACAUCGUCAGAAAUCCUGAAAUAAAUCAAAAAUUACGAUCACAAAUGCCAUGUCUAGGACGCGAACCCUGGUGGGUUUGGUUCCACCACAAGGUAACUAACCAUCUAAGCUAUGCUUAGUUCACGGUUGGCUGGUGGACCUACUGUUGCAAGGCACGCGGCUCGAGGAUUUUUUUUUGGGAGUUAAUUUUUGUUUAGCUGAUGGAUUUUGUUUAAUGAUAUGUGAAUGUGUGCGUCUUUGGAUGCAGCGGCCGGGGUUAUCCUCCUUUACCAUUGAAUUUUCAAAAAUAAAAAAUUGGAUAUGCGUUUUAGUUGAUCAUUAAGGCUUUCCGCUGCUCUAUGGUUAACAUCGCUCUUUAGUUCAACUGGCCGGCAAGUCAGCCUCUUUAGCGAGGUGUCGUAGGUUUGAUUCGUCGGGGUUGCAAUAUGUUUUCCUGGAUCGCUAACGUACUAGCCUCGCUCGCUCUACCUUUCAUCGGUAAAGUAUUAGCCUCUGCAUUCAGCUGACAAUCUACCGCAAAGAGCGGCAGAUAGGAGCUCCCGGAAUAUAUAACUAGUAUUUGCAUCAAAGUUUAGGCAUGGCAGGGCCAAGCCUUGCCAAAUUGCUGGCUUCGCCCCUCACCACUACUCCUAGAACUUGCACAAAAUGUGAUGCUUUAGUCCAAUACUUGCAAAAGUUACGACAAGUGGAGCCAGGUGGCCGAGCCAGCCCUAGGGCAUGGCAAAAGGUGUGGUGGCCUAGGGCCUAUCUUAAAUAAGAGACCGAUAUAUCUACAGACUUAAAUAAAUUACAAAAGAACAUAAAAUCAACGCGGAUAGGGGGCAAUUGACCCCAACCCCGACGCACUUUACCACGUUGCAUUUAUUUAAUAGUUAUUUAUAAUUGAGUACAUGUAUCAUAUAAUCAUUAUUUGCAUUAUAUAAUCAUAUAUAGAUGGUGUACUCAGACUUUAUUUACUAACUAAAAUCAUGUUUUUUUAAUGUUUACGCAUUUAUAUUAUUCGGUUAAGGUUUAUUGUGUCUCAUUCGCACUAGGGCCUCCAUAAUACUAUGGCCGGCCCUGCCUACCUCAUGAAGAUUGCAUAUUUCAUUUUAGUGUUUAUGUGUUUGGAGCUGUCGAUUAUCACUUUGGGAAGCAUGCAUGUUUGACAAUGUUUCAUAAUUAGUUGUGUGCACUGCUCUUGUCUCGAUGUAGGCAGACACUAACACCACCUAGUUAGAAUCUUGGAUUAUUAAUUAUAGGCCAGGUUGAGUGAACUACAUCAUAUUUGUUCGCAGCCUCAAGUAAAAUAGUUACACUACUCUUACCUUCAUAUUGGGAAAAUGAAUUAAUUGAAUGACCUCUACAUAACUCUACUAUAACACUUGAAUGGAUGGGUACCAUCUGUUGUUGAGAAUGUAACUUCAGAUGUUGUGCAUUUGGUGUAGAACUAUAAAGAAUGCCCUCAUGUUUAUGAACAAAAUGUUUCGCUGAUUGAUUUUAACACUGCUCUUUUUUUUUUGAAACAAAUUUUAACACUGCUCUUAUAGUGAUGGGUUUUUCUUUGCUGUCAAAGAAGUGUCAUCAAUUGACCAAGGAAUCAAUGCAAAACUAUUUAGCAUGUAAGCUUGUGGGUUUUCACAUGCUUGAUCAGUUGUCUUGGUUACACUGCUUCAAACGUUAUAUUUGCUGACACUCAGUCAUGUUUAUAUUUACCCAAAUGAUAAGUGCCACACGUCAGGUGCGUGGCACUCCGGCCUUGACGUUUGUCAAUGGUAAUUUCAGUCACGCGAGGAUGGCAAUUUUCAGUGCCACACGGCAAGUUUCUGUAAAAAAAAUAUACUGAGGCACGAAACUUGCCAUCCUUGACAACUAAAGUUGUCAUCCUCGCGUAACUAAAUUUGCCGUCGAAAACGUUCGAAGUUGCCAUGUGCUCGUACCUGACGUUCGAUACUUAUCAGGGUCCUAUAUUUAACAUUCAACCAUGCAGAUUGCAGAGCACAACAGGAGGGCAAAUAGGGUUUCAGCAAAGAGGAAUCCCUUUGCCUAGCCAGAAGUUUGCAUGGAGGUUGGUUCUAUCUGCUGUGCACUAUACUGAAACGCCACUGGCAACACACCCAUCCUCCUCACUUGGCCUAAACCUAACCUAACAAACGGAAAACUUUGAUUGGUCGUGCAAUAGUAUUAGAAGGAGUCGUGCAAUAAUGCAUGUUUAGCCCAUUGCUUUGCCUGAUUAUGGUAUGCAAAUUGCAGAUGCGCUUUUCUGGAAGUGGUUUCCAUAUGCCGUAAAGAGAUGAGACAACACACCAAAGACAAAUCAUGCUCUGCCAGUCGUCAUAAGAUAUUGUACUAUUAUUGUAUCCUCUAGAAUUUUUGGCUGGCGGAACUUGUAACAGCAGUGCCGCACAGAAAAGCUUGUCUUGCCAUAGGUUUUGGCACAAUAUUUCUCGUUUUGAAAUGCACGAGCUUUGUAGGAACAAAAGAUAGUGGAAUUCUCUGCUCCCAAUUCAAGUGAAUUAAUUGGUUCUGAUCACACCCAUUUUUAUUGCUUCUGAUCACACGCAUUUUUAUUGCUUCUGAUCACAAACUUAGCGGCUAAGGUUUUAUGUCUCUCUUCAAGAACUAACACAUGUGGGUCGUACCCAAACUAGUGGAAUAAGUAAUGUUUAAAGCAAAAUCAAUUUCUCCAUGUGCAUAUAUCUACUCAUAUUUUAUCGGGAAAAAUAUUAACCCAGGAAACAACGGUUCAGCUAGCAGGCAAAAAUACCCUAAUUUUCUUGAAUAUCUGUUGUUGUUUUAGGUCAUCCUUGAUUCAAAGAAUUUUGAAGGAUCAAAAAUCCUUAGGAAUCUUUGCUGUGUGAUUGCUUAAUUCGUCGGAUGAAUAAUUUUUUCUGAAGAUUCCUUUGUGCUACAUUUCAUAGAAAUUUCAGCAUUCACUCAAACCUCUUGAAGAGAAUCGUGUAUUUUUCUCAUGCAGUCAAACAAACAAAAAUUAUGUAGGAUUCAAAUGGUCAUGACAUCACAAUCCUAGGUUUUUUCCUAUUCCUACUUUUAAAAAAUCAUGAAAAUCAAAGAGGCCCGGAGAGGUUUUAGUUUGUCUAGGUUGAAGGGAUCACAACAGGAAUAUCAGAGCUUUGACACCUCUUACUCAAGGUCCAAAUGAUUUAGGCUCUCAAAGCAAUGCAUUUGCUAAUUCCCGUGACUCAACCGUGGUAGGCAUAUUGAGGAUCUAUCAAGGUUGCAUACAGGAAAAAAGGGGAAUUGCAUCAAUUUUUAUUAGUAGAUUCAAGAAAAUGACCGCUAUGAUAUAGCCAACGAUGGCGGCUCAGGGGUUCCCCCUCAAACCUACGCACCGCCACCCCAAACCUCCCCGCCCUGCGCCACCGUCGGAGGAAGCUUCCUGGCGAAGCUCGUGCGGUUGAAGGAGGCGGCAGGGAACUUUCUUGCGAUACCUAGGGACCUGCGGGUGACAGAUCCCGGUGGCGGCCAUUGGUGCUCUGAUGCGCGAAGAGGCUGGGCUCGGCGAGCGGCAGUUGCCCGUGCGGUGGGGAUUGUGGCUCGGCCGCCGCAUGAAGCACUGGCACGGUUUCGUCUCGGUCGCAAAACGGAUUGUUCGGAUGUGGCGGGAUGGACGAAGAAGGUCGUGCUCGGAUAUUUUUCGGGCCGAUGAUGGCGCUGCCUUUGGUUGUUGUUACUUUGUUAAAGGAGUUGUCGAUGUCGUUCUUGCCUAGCUGCCUAUUGCUCCGGGGAAAACAAUAGGUUCGAGUGAUAUCAGAUCGGACUGUCAUUUCUCUCUCUUGAGAGCAUUGUUUUAGAGUUGCAUUUGUUAGGGGAUAAGUGGAUGAUAGCAGGUUUGCGUUGCGGCUGACACUUCCAUGUCUUGCUGGUAAAAUGUAUUGGAUGGUUGAGGCAUUGAGGCCUAGCAUAGCGGUGGUUGUCGGCGAUCCUCCGUUGCGGCGUCGCGUUACGGAGAUGGUGUGCGGCAUUUUGCCGGUGAUAAUCGCAGUCUUCGAGGACACUGACAACAUGUGGUGUUUUAUCCGGGAUUCCCAAAUUUAUCAGUGAUAGACACUUGUGACGAAAGUAUGGGAUUGCCUGAUAGUCUCCCCGGUGGGAUUUUUAUUUUUUAUUUUUAAUAAAAGAGAGCUUCCCUCUUCGAUUUCAUUUAGAGAAAUCACAAGUUCACAAACUCAAAGACCGACUACCAGCAAACCCUAAAGUUGACAGUGCUAUGUUGGCAGGAGGAAGCCAUCCCUCCCCUCCCUCCACACAGCAGCUUGCCAAAAUGAGCUAGAUCUCCGGUACCAUUCAGCACCAUAGAAGACCCAAAAGCUAGUGAAAUUCGUUCUACUCGCUAUUACAUUUAGAGAAAGUUCAAGACACAACGAAGGUAAAAGGAGAUGACACUAUUUGAGCUACAGGGGACAUAAAAGGAAACGGUGGGAUUUUGAUGGUGUCGUCUUUCUCUCGCCCUACGGUCAAUGGCUCCGCUCAGCUUUGGGUGACAGUGUGUUUAGGUUGGUCAUGGUGGAAGUAACAUAGAUAGUAACAUAGAUGCCACAUAAGCAAAAAUGUUGAUGUGGCAAGUAGUUAAUGAGGAGAGAGGUAAAUAGAGUAACCUAAUAUGUUACUAUCACAUAGCGCUUUUCAAUGCAAAAUGAGUCUACAAGACAAUAAAUAAACAUGUGUAUGUUACUACACAUAUGACACUUCCCACUAUAAGGGUAGUAACAUAGAGUAGUAACGUAUGUAUGUUAGUACUCUAAGUUACUCCCCACUAUGACCAGCCUUAUAAUUUUCAGCUCGCGUGGCUUAACUUCUACUCUUUGUAUCAAUGCUCCGAAUUUCUAGGUCUCUAGGAUUUCUUAUCAUAAGUUAUUAUUAGCCAACAAAUAAACCUGGAUCCAUCGGCAACGAACUUUGCGUUUUUCUCAAAAAGAACGGUUUAAUAUUGCUUCCCGUCAUCCUGUUGGCUGCUCUUGCCGGCCGCCAUCGUUGAACCGGACCUUAUCCAGGAACGAAACCGGAAGUUCUUGGCUUGCACACCGAGGACAUUGACCUGCUUGCUCGACGGAAUCACUUGACAUACGUGCUCCCCGUUACACCCGCAGGGCACGUAUGUCGCUUUCCUGUCGGCACCAAACCACGACCAGCCGGGAGCGAGAUGGCCCGGAAUCCCGAUCCACCACGCCACAACGGGAUCCAGAGCCCCAGAUCGACCACGCCACGGCGGCUUGCAUGAUGGGCAGAAGUCUCGAGUGUCACUCCAUGCCAUAGAUCCUACGUUUUCUGAGAUCUUGGAAUCUGAGCUGAGCUUUGCUAGCACAGCCUCACUCACUGACAGUCAAACAAAUAAACGUUUGCGUCCAGCCUCGUCUCAUCCGGUGAAAAUCUGGCUCCGGUCACCAAUUAUCGUCGCGCAUCGGACGUGUCCCCUGCCGUCAGUGCUCUGAAAUUUCUAUGGAUCGAUGGAUGGAUCCAUGUCGCUUUCGCCUAAAAUUUCUCCUCGCCAAAUCAAAUCACCGUCGAUCACAUGGCAGCCCUGCUCCCCGCCCUCUAUAAAUAACCUGCCGUAUCGCGGUCUCGUUGCACACGCUUACACGGUACAGUCUCGCACUCAAGACUCAACUCAUCAACUGAGGCUGAGGCUGACACUUCCCGCCUCUGCAGCGACACCACGAGACAUGAAGCUGGAGGUGUCGCCGAGGCAGAGGACCCAAGAAGCAGAGCAGAACGAGGGCCCCGAGGUAUGGAAGCACCCGAAGCAGCUCUGCGCUAGUCUGGGCUACGGGGAGGAGGAGGAGGUGCCACGGCUCGUGCCGCCGCUCAACUUCGGCAUGGUCGGGGUUCCCCGACGCGGCCAACUUCCGGUUCCUCGCGUCCCUCAACCUGCGCUCCGUCGUGUGAGUCCCCUUCCCUACCAUGCCGAAAUCUUCGGCCACCAUGCACCCAAACUUCUCUGUUCUUACGCGCGCGCGACGCCCCGUGUUGCUUGCUUCUGCAGGUACCUGUGCCCGGAGCCGUACCCGGAACAGAACGCGCGGUUCCUGGGGCGCAGCGGGAUCAAGCUCCACCACUUCGGAAUCCAGGGCCGCAAGGUACGCCAACAAUUCAGCCUUUGAUUCAUGCAUUUCCAAGGACGGCGAAACCAUCUUUGCAUCGACCUGCAUUUUUGCUUGCUCGGCGCGCUCUGCAUAUGACUGUGGCAGCAGUAAAUGAUCUUUUCUUCAGAGUAGCCGUGGGCUGUGGCGUGGAUGAAUAACUUGCUUUCGGCAGCACUUGCCUUUUCUAGUACUACCCCUUUGCUUGGGCAACUGGCUUAUUGGCACUUUGCAGAGUCUAUUUACCCGUCCACUUUCAUGAGGAACAGCAUAUACUAGCCAUGCCCGCGCUCCGUCGAUAUGUUACGUGUAUAUGUCUAUUUUUAUUUUCUGUCAUGAAAUUAAGACUUUUAUGAGCAUAAGUUUGUAGUCAUAACUCUAUAGUCACAAAAAAGGAAGGCAUGCACAAGAAUAAUUUAAAAAAUAUUCAUUUUUUAUCAUGAUGUGUGCUACAUCUUGCAAGAUGAAAAGUGCACAUUGCCAUUUUUUAGCAGGCUGAACACAUUACAUUCAUUUGUAGCUUAUAUCAUUCUAGUGGAGCCUGUCGUGGGAUGGGAUUGUUACAUGCGAUGCAACGAUACAGAGCCUUUCCAAAUUGUUGCAUGCGACCUGCAUGUAGCUUCGUGCCAGUGUACGAAAUAAUUUGAUCAUCAGUCUGCGGACGCUGAGGGUGCACACAAUGGUAUUAUGUCAUAGAAAUUAUCACAUGUCUUUGCCAGGAUCUGGGUCUGUCCUGUGAAUUCAUUUUCCUGUGCCAUGCUUGCACCGGAACUGCGACAAGGUCGCAUAGCGCGUGAGCCGGGUCAUGGCAGAGGCAUCGUUGCGCCCCCUUCCAUUGUGCCCGGGUCAUGGCAGAGGUCUCGUUGCGCCCUCUCCUAUCGUGCCCGUGCAGCUGACAUAGCGCGUGAGCCGGGUCUUGGCAGAGGCAUCGUUGCGUCGUCCUCCCCUCUCGCCGCUAGAGCGUGCUUCACCAGCCGCCAUGGCACUUUGUGCUGCCGCCGGUACCGCCGGAACCGCUGCACGAAGAACUCGCACACGUGCUUGUCCGACUGCAGUGGAGUCCUCAACCUGGAGUACUGAAAAAUGCGCCGACGACACGUCCUGUCCGACUCCAACAGCAUCUAGAUAAAUAUCAACCAAUAGCACGACUCAAAUCAAACUUAACAACAACGGAAGAAUCCAUCGAACAGCCAACGCCCCGACGGCGCACAGGGCGCACCCGCCGACAAAAAAAGCACAAAGAAUCAUGGCCAGCAACAAAACACCGCAGAACCGCCCGACGAACCGAUCAUGAAGCAGAGUCGCACACGACUAAUAACAGCAGCCCAAAUCCGAAUUCCAGGGGAAUGACUCCGAUGACGGGCGAUGUCCAUGUCUUCCACUGAUGGCCAUUGUGAUCAUGAAUUGUGUGAAGACAAUGAAUUCACCGGUGGUGGCGGCGGCGGAGAUGGUGAGGAUGUCACCGGCCGGGCCCCUAGCGUUUAUCGCCGACGGCGGCGGCGAGGUGCCCGGCUGCUUGCACUCCGCAGCCUCGGCGCUCAUGGACGCUGCCGUCCGACGCACUACAGGACCACCUCGCCGUGGACGCCAUCGCGAUAUUGGUGCAGGCGCCCAUGGAUCCUGACGCCCCCACGCACUACGGGAUCACCAGAGUCGCCGUGGACGCCAUGGUCAUGUUGGUACUCGCAGCCACCAGCGUCCUACAAACGCCAUCGCCAUGUCAGGCGCACAACACUUGGCUGUGCACACCUGCCAAGCUGCUCGGACCGACGUACGCCCAGCCGACAUGCGACGACAGGGGGCCGAUGGACUGUUGGGCGGGGGCGAGCUUGAGCAGAGACGCCGCAGCCUGAGGUCUGCGUCACCCCCACAUGCACGCCACCAUUGCCUCCUUUUCGUCGUGCCCUCCACGCGAGCCUCGCCAUGCUGUGGGACGCCAUCCUAGGGCCGAUGGCAGCGGAGAUGGAGUCCCGACGGUGGGAGCUCCGGCAAGACGCGGUCCGGCGGCGAGGCCGGACGUGGACUCGCCUAGAUUAGAGAGGUGCGGCAAACGCAUUGGUGAGGUCCAAAAGCCUUUUUAUACAGGCGCAUACGAUGAGAAGCGGUUGCACGGCUGCGUAAGACGGUGGAGGCUUUCGCUGGAGUCUUCCGGAUAGAACGUUCGAAAGGUCAAUAUGUGUCAAUGUCCGUAACAGCCAGCACACACCAACAAAAAAAUAUCUACAGUCGCAUGAACCAAUCACGCAGAUCACAACCAGUCAAAACAAGGCACAUGAAAACCCACCACGCGACAAAUCCGGUCAGAUCCAAUCCAUGCAUGGCACAUGCUCAUGCGGGGCAGAAGGAAUGCCCGGUACGUAUAUCUAACCAAGAAUCGGUAGAUCUACUAAGAGCGUACCCAGUCAUAUCCCCCAAUAAAUAACGUGUCAUCUCUCGAUUGGUCCGAUUUUCACUGAUAAGAAAAAGUCAAAAAAACGUGGUAAACCAAACCUGGCCAGGUUUAGUAUAUUUAGAAUAUCUGAUCAACCAGCUCGCCUUUUUACCUGCCAUGCUACGCUCUGCAUUAGUACCACAUGUCUGCAUACAUGGAAAACGGGAUGUCUGCUUGCCUAGCAUCACGUGUCAAAAGCUCUAGUUUUUAUCUGAUAUCCACUGCAACGGUGACUCGACGAGAACAUAUUCCACUGUCGGCUCUUUGCUCACCAAGCUAUGAUCUGCUAGUUAGUGGAACGCCAAAGGCCGUCGACGCUGGCAAGUUGACGUUCGGUCACAGCUUAUUCUGUCGGCGAUUAACAAUGCAUCCUACCGUCGAGCUCACCAACUUUAGUUCAGAAUCAUCCAUGUGUGCACUGCAACUGCAAUGCAAACUCCCUUUUGGAAAACCUAUACUAUGUGUGCGAAAUGCCAACAAAUAACUGAAAUGUACGUACCUUGUUGCGAGUGCAGGAACUGUUUGUCGGCAUCCCCGAAGAAAUGAUCCGCGAGGCGCUCAAAGUCAUCCUUGGUACUAUCUCAUACACUUACUUACAGACAUCUUCACUGAUUGAAGGCUGCAAAACCACACAUCACACUUGAAAUCUCCCAUUCUCUGAAAGAUCACUUGAAAUCUCUGACACAUAUCCUUGUUUGUUUUCACUUGAUUCAGACGUAAGAAACCAUCCGGUGCUCAUCCACUGCAAGAGAGGCAAGGUACGUAGGCCUCCAUUGAUCAUCCAUCCAUUCUGCACCCUACACCUCAUACAACACUUUUUUUUUUGACGGCAACCUCAUACAACACUUUAAAACGAAAAUCAUAACCAUAUGCUUCUUUCAGCACCGUACCGGCUGCGUGGUGGGCUGCCUGAGGAAGCUGCAGAAGUGGCGCCUGUCCUCCGUCUUGGACGAGUACCUGCACUUCGCGGCGGCCAAGGCCAGGAAAACCGACCAGAGGUUCAUGGAGCUCUUCGACACGUCAAGCUUGGUGCAUCUGCUGGCCUCGCAGUGUUGAUGAAAGCGAGCGAGCGUUUUUCGUUUCUCUUUUGGCCUGUCCCGAUCCUGCCACCAUGCGGCUGCGACGACCUGUCUUUUCCCGCGGCGAUUUACAGAGAAUCAUGGGCCAUAUCUGUGAGAGAUACAAGGGGACCAAUGAGAGAUGUACUCCUUGAAUGCUCAAAAAUAACAAUUCAAAGUGUAUGGCACAGUAUCAUUAUUCCCGCAAAAAAAAAUGGUAGAACACCAUUGUAUGAUCGAUCUGAUAGGAUUUUCCGAGAUGUUAUUUUGAAAAUGCUGGUAUGGACUGAAUGUUUACUGUUUACUGAUGCCAUUUGACAACUAACUACUUCUCCUGCUUGUGAGUGAGCCUAGUAUUUUUUCUUUUUGCCUAAGAAAAAUAGUGAGUCUAGUUUUUUUAGAAACGGUUUUUGUUUUAGAGCUGUGAGUGUGUCUAGCCAGAAUGGACAUGGACUGAAUAAAGCCAUGAGGCCCAAAUGGACAUGGGCCUGGUAAGCCCGAGUGCCUCGCAUCGCAGGAGAGAAAGGGUUAUCGUAGGGAGUACGCUGAUACUUUCCUUCCCCUAAUAAACCCCCAAAUUGAGAGAGCAAACCACCGAGUCCGCCGCCGCCGCCGCCCACCUUUCUUCUUCUCCCAAACCCUAGUCUCCGGCGGCGAUGGCCCCCAAGCGCGCCGCGAAGAAGGCGGCACCCCCGCCUCCGCCUCCGCCUCCGGCUGCCUCCUCUGAGGAGAGCGAAUCCCGCUCGCGCUCCGAGGAGUCGGAGGGCGAAGACGCCGAGUCCCCUCCCCCCGCCCCCACCCCGGCCCCCAAUAGCACGCCGGCGCCCCCGCAGGAGGGAGAGGAGGAGGAGGAGGAGUCUGAAGAGGAAGACGAGGAGGAGUCUGAUGAGGAGCCCGCCCACGCGGCCCCAGCCGCCGCCGCCACCCCCAAGAACAAGCCUCCGCCGCCGCAACAGGGAGGUGACUCCGAUUCUUCUUCCGACGAGGAGGAGGAGGAGCCCACCAAGGCGGCCCCUCCCUCCGCCCUGAAGAAACAACCCCCGCCGCCGCCGCCGCCGCGGCAGAGCGAGGAAUCGGACGCCUCCGACGAGGAAGAAGAGGAGGGUGAGUCCGAGGAGGAGGCGCCGCCGCCGCCGCCGCCGAAGCUUGCUCCAAAGCAGGCGCCAGAGGGCCGGAAGCCCCAGGCAGCGGCGGAGACCAAGAAGCCGGCCGCUUUCAACCGCAUCUGGUCCACCGACGACGAGGUGCGUAUCCUCGAGGCCCUUGCUGCUCACCAAAAGCAGCACGGCACGCUGCCGCAGCCGGACGCCCUCGUGGACGCCCUUGCAGGAAAGCUCGACAACCGUGCCUACGGCAGCAAGGAGCUCCAGGGGAAGGUCUUGGCCCUGAGGCGUCGGUACCUCCUUCUCAGCAAGAAGGGCGAGCCCCCGAGCAAGGAGCAUGACCGCCGGGUGCUGGAACUUUCCAAGAUGGUCUGGGAAGGCGGUGACACGGCCGCAGCUGCCCCUGCGAAGGCGGCAAAUGGCCAGGAGCCAAAGGGGUUCGAGGAGAUGUGCGAGCUGUAUCCGUACCUGGCGGAGCAGGUGAGGGAGCUGGAUGCGGCGAACCCGGGCAUCUUCAAGAGGCAGUUCGGGAUGAUGGACGACGACAAGGCGCGCGCGAUGGACGAGAAGAUCAAGAGGCAGAGGGUGGCGCAGAUGAAGGUGGAGCUGCGCCGCCACGACCUGGCCAGGGAGGUGACCAAGGCGAUCAUCGACCUGGUCGACUGAUCGGAGCGUCAUGGGCUUACAAGUUAGUACAAACUGAAACUGUAUCUGUGAUCACCUGAAGUUGGUGCGAUGAAAUGCGGCGUUUUGGUGGAGCAAGAAUGUUUCUGAAACUAUGAUCUAGAGUCUGCAGAUUGGGCUGGCUCGAUGCAUCAGACAUGUGGUGGAACUGCAAAUUGUGCCUCCUGUAGUCCUGUUUGUAAGAAUGCUUUUCUCGUGUGGCCAGAGCAAAUGCUAGAAAUAGCAAAUUAGGGGUGUCUUUAUAGUGUAAGCAUGAUGAGACAUGUGCUGGAACUGCAAAUUGUGCUGGUGGAUUAAGAAUAUUUUCCGAAGUGCGCUAGAACUGGCAAAUUGUGCUGUUGUUGCGCGAAUCUUUGUUGCCACUGGUUCCAUCGAUUGUGCGAGGUUAUGUAUGAAACGGUCGCUGAAUUUGUAGUUGGUUCAGGAAAGCAUUUCUGUUGUUAGUUUUGACAGCUUGUUGCUGUUUUGGCUGUUUCAGGGUUUGGGUGCAGGCUGGAGUCGUGAGUCUGAAUUGGAUGAAUGUUACCAGGGCAUGGCGCUGGGUUAUACUCCUCUACUUUUCUGCUGUUUAAUUUAACCAGCAUUUUAUACUUGCGUGACUGUUUCAGGCUUUCUGUGCUGGAUUAUAUGAAUGUUACCAGGGCAUGGCGCUGGGUUAUACUCCCUCCGUUCCAAUUUACUCGUCGUGGUUUUAGUUCAAAUUCAAAUUUAAACUAAAACCACGACGAGUAAAUCGAAAUGGAGGGAGUACUACUUUUCUGUUGUUGGGUUAUACUCCCUUUGUACACAAAUAUAAGAUGUUUUUGCAGUUUAAUUCAAACUGCAAAAACGUCCUACAUUUGUUUACAGAGGGAGUGCUACUUUUCUGCUGUUUAAUUUGGAGGUAAUUGCACCGCGGUGCUUGAGCUAGUGAUGGAUGUUCAUUUAGUCCUUGUAGUUGCAAGUGGUUUCAAAACUUUGACAUGCCCUUAAGGCGAAAAAUGCGCCUACAUGACACCGUAUUUUCGGUUCGCGUGCACACGAGCUUCAAAAAAAAAAAGGUUUGCGUGCACACUUGGGUGCCAACCUCAAGUUAGCGAACAGGCCGUGCUAGCCACCUCACCAGAUGAACUUUGAUGUACUAGUAAGCUUGCACGUGCAACGCACGUCUCGACUAAUAUUUACAACCGUCACCUGUGUAUGUAAGAGGAUAAUCUGAUUGUAGUAGUAAAAAAUAUUUCAAAUGUACUGUUGUGUAGAUAAGGUUCACUUUCCACCCAAAAAACUAUUUGCACUAUUAUUUCAAAUCUUUAGUAGCCUUCUUAUUUCUAGUAACCGUACACAUGCAAUGCAAACAAAAAAAAAAGUUACAAAGAAAUAUAUUUGAACUUUGGGACAAUGUGCUACUACAAAAAAAAGUCACCUAUCAAUGUGCGUGUCUUAAAAAAAAAUGGUGCGUGACUACACUCCAUAUCCAUAUCUUGAUGCUUGAGUACACUCCAUACUCCAUUUGCUCCAUAUGAUAGCUUAUCCUCCUCUCCAGAAAGAGCUUCAUAUGUAUCCCUACCUGGUAUAUCAGCAUUUCUCAAAAUAAAAAAAUAAAAAAAACUGGUGUAUCAGCACAUACUGUGUCCCUACAAGAAGCUUGUAAUUUUUUUGGCAGAACAUAUAAACCCAGUAGCAAUCAAGUCUCAUGGGAAAACUGAUCACUCAAUUAGCGAGAAAGUGCUCACUUAGCAAGUUUACUUAAUGCAUCAUGAUUUGUUUCUUGAAACUUCAUGCUUAGUGAAAGAAAAGUAAGGCUUGGAGAUCUUUCUAGAGUUUAGUACCGAAUAACUUUCUCAAUCGCAUGGCAUUUAGUGAUUCUGUAUAAAGAAAAUGGUUACAGGCUUGGUAAAGGAACAAUAUUCCUACAGACAAGUGAGAAAUCUCAUGUAGGCUUCCACAAAUAACUACAGGCACAACACACACGAACUCCUGAAGAAUUGGCAUGAUUGGCAUGUAGUAG